AUGUAUCUGCGCUAUGCUACCCUGCGCCCUGUCGACUUCAAGCUCUCAUGUGUACACUGCCUUGAAUCAACCUCGCGUCUUAGUCUUGUCGAAGCCGCACAAGCCCUCAAGCCUGCACCACGUGCUUCCACGCUCCAGAAGUCGGCACCAUCAGCAUCACGCUCCUAUGUCAUCGUCGCUGAAAUCACUGCCGUCUUCAGCUUUGACCGAUAUCCCUGUCGAUCCGUCAGACAUUCCAGUCCGACCCAGCCGAAAUUAUCCGACUGCAAUCAUGCUUCACCCUGCGUCGUUUUCCACCCGCACAUCUCGGUGCAUUGCUUUGACGCCCUGUAUAUGCAUGAUCGUGCCACGACGCGCUCCAGACUCCUGCUUUGA
rnacentral:rRNA from 1 species